rnacentral:tRNA from 1 species
GGGCGAUUAGCUCAGUUGGGAGAGCACCUGCCUUACAAGCAGGGGCCACUGGUUCGAACCCGGUAUCGCCCACCA